UACGGAGGGGGCUAGCGUUGUUCGGAAUUACUGGGCGUAAAGCGCAUGUAGGCGGCUUUGUAAGUUAGAGGUGAAAGCCCAGGGCUUAACUCUAGAAUUGCCUUUAAGACUGCAUCGCUAGAAUCGUGGAGAGGUGAGUGGAAUUCCGAGUGUAGAGGUGAAAUUCGUAGAUAUUCGGAAGAACACCAGUGGCGAAGGCGGCUCACUGGCCCGGUACUGACGCUGAGGUGCGAAAGCGUGGGGAGCAAACAGG
rnacentral:rRNA from 1 species